CACGGGGGGAGCAAGCGUUGUUCGGAAUCACUGGGCGUAAAGGGCGUCUAGGCGGUCAGGUAAGUGAGAUGUGAAAUGCCCCGGCUCACCCGGGGAGCGGCAUCUCAUACUGCUUGGCUUGAGUACGGGAGAGGAUGUGGGAAUUCCUGGUGUAGCGGUGAAAUGCGUAGAUAUCAGGAGGAACACCGGUGGCGAAGGCGCAGAUCUGGCCCGAUACUGACGCUGAAGCGCGAAAGCUAGGGGAGCAAACGGG
rnacentral:rRNA from 1 species